rnacentral:lncRNA from 1 species
CAGUUCCAGAGUCAUAUAGCUAACUGCAUAUUUAAAUUGAUAGUGUCUCUAGGUGCUGAGUCACUUGUUUUUGUGUAAGUUUUUGAUAUUGCUCCACUUGGACAAUUUUAAUGACCAAAACUUAACGUGGAUAAAGCUACUUAACCAAAGCAUUCACAGCGGGGGAAGGAAGAGGGUAGGAUGAACAUUAAUGUGUUUAGAAUGGAAUUCUUCAUUGCAGGUUUGGAAUUGAAAUGAACAUUCUCAGUCAUGUUUAUUCCUAGAAUCCAGUUCUCUCAAGUGUCACCAAACUGAGCUGGUGAAAUAGUCCUAGGAUUUUAGGAAAUAGGAAGAUUAGGUAAUAGAAUGUUUUGCUUCCAUGGUGCCAGGGAUUGGCUGACCAAAGGACAAGCCAGUCCUGGUUCUCAGCAUUCCCUGUAUUUGUGUAGUAGAGGUAGAUCUGAGGGUUACUGUUCGUAUUUUACUUCUAAAUGCUUGCUGAUUUAGGAAGAGUCUCUUACUCUAAAAUUCUUGAUAUUUGGAACUUUAAG